rnacentral:rRNA from 1 species
CGGACGGGUGAGUAACGCGUGAGCAACCUGCCCCUUGGAACGGGAUAGUGUCUGGAGACGGACAGUAAUACCGUAUAACGUAUUUUUACCGCAUGAUAGAAAUACCAAAACUGAGGUGCCGAAGGAUGGGCUCGCGUCUGAUUAGAUAGUUGGUGGGGUAACGGCCUACCAAGUCGACGAUCAGUAGCCGGACUGAGAGGUUGAACGGCCACAUUGGGACUGAGACACGGCCCAGACUCCUACGGGAGGCAGCAGUGGGGAAUAUUGCACAAUGGGGGAAACCCUGAUGCAGCAACGCCGCGUGAAGGAAGACGGUUUUCGGAUUGUAAACUUCUGUUCUUAGUGAAGAAUAAUGACGGUAGCUAAGGAGCAAGCCACGGCUAACUACGUGCCAGCAGCCGCGGUAAUACGUAGGUGGCAAGCGUUGUCCGGAAUUACUGGGUGUAAAGGGAGCGUAGGCGGGAUGCCAAGUCAGCUGUGAAAACUAUGGGCUUAACCUGUAGACUGCAGUUGAAACUGGUAUUCUUGAGUGAAGUAGAGGUUGGCGGAAUUCCGAGUGUAGCGGUGAAAUGCGUAGAUAUUCGGAGGAACACCGGUGGCGAAGGCGGCCAACUGGGCUUUAACUGACGCUGAGGCUCGAAAGUGUGGGGAGCAAACAGGAUUAGAUACCCUGGUAGUCCACACUGUAAACGAUGAUAACUAG